UUUCGCCUACGGGAGGCAGCAGUGGGGAAUAUUGGGCAAUGGGCGCAAGCCUGACCCAGCAACGCCGCGUGAAGGAUGAAGGUUUUCGGAUUGUAAACUUCUGUCGCGAGGGACGAAGAAUGACGGUACCUCGUAAGAAAGCCCCGGCUAACUACGUGCCAGCAGCCGCGGUAAUACGUAGGGGGCGAGCGUUGUCCGGAAUUACUGGGUGUAAAGGGAGCGUAGGCGGGGAUGCAAGUUGGGUGUCAAAACUACCGGCUCAACUGGUAGUCGCACUCAAAACUGCAGCUCUUGAGUGAAGUAGA
rnacentral:rRNA from 1 species